AAUAGAUACCCAGGUAGUCCACGCCGUAAACGAUGAGUGCUAAGUGUUAGAGGGUUUCCGCCCUUUAGUGCUGCAGCUAACGCAUUAAGCACUCCGCCUGGGGAGUACGGUCGCAAGACUGAAACUCAAAGGAAUUGACGGGGGCCCGCACAAGCGGUGGAGCAUGUGGUUUAAUUCGAAGCAACGCGAAGAACCUUACCAGGUCUUGACAUCCUCUGACAACUCUAGAGAUAGAGCGUUCCCCUUCGGGGGACAGAGUGACAGGUGGUGCAUGGUUGUCGUCAGCUCGUGUCGUGAGAUGUUGGGUUAAGUCCCGCAACGAGCGCAACCCUUGAUCUUAGUUGCCAGCAUUCAGUUGGGCACUCUAAGGUGACUGCCGGUGACAAACCGGAGGAAGGUGGGGAUGACGUCAAAUCAUCAUGCCCCUUAUGACCUGGGCUACACACGUGCUACAAUGGAUGGUACAAAGGGCUGCAAGACCGCGAGGUCAAGCCAAUCCCAUAAAACCAUUCUCAGUUCGGAUUGGUAC
rnacentral:rRNA from 1 species